CUCGACCUGAGCUCAAGCAAGACCACCCGCUGAACUUAAGCAUAUUUGGGAAUCCCCA
rnacentral:rRNA from 1 species